GCGGAUCAAAGAGACUGUUGGUCUAGACUUUAUAUGUCUAUGACAGAUCCAUAUCUCAUAUAUUUUCUCUCUUUUUAUAGCACAUUUCCGUUCUCCCUACAGCGUUUUCGGUCCAUUUCUAUAUGUCGACGGUUUUCAUGCGAGCUCCAUCUUGAACCUCCAACUUCACGGGCUUCUUGAACACAAGUAAAUAACAAGUAGGUUAGUUUGAGGUUAUUGUGGGGAGUGUUAUUGUGAUUUCAUCUAUAUUCAUUAUUACACUGUGAUUCCAAUUAUCAAAAAUGCUGAAAGUGAAAAGCACUCGUCGCGUUCAAAGGCAUCGAGCAAUUUCCAACACUCCAAGAUUCUCGAAAGAAAACCAAAGCGGUGUUUAUGAAAAAUAUAAGUCACUUACGAUGAAAUCUUUUCAUCUUGAAACGGUCUUCACUAAUUCCAAAGAUUGAUAUGGACACCGAAAGAUGAGGCUGGCGAAGAAUAAUCAGGUUCUGGAAUUAGAUUCUUCUUAAGAUGCUCAGCUACUUGAAAUGAUUCUUUUAAAUAAACAAUUUCACCUUA